AACUUUUGAGAACGGAUCACUUGGCUCUCGCAUCGAUGAAGAACGCAGCGAAAUGCGAUACGUAAUGUGAAUUGCAGAAUUCAGUGAAUCAUCGAAUCUUUGAACGCACCUUGCGCCCCUUGGUAUUUCGAGGGGCACACCCGUUUGAGUGUCGUGAAUACUCUCAACCUUCUUGGUUUCUUUGACCACGAAGGCUUGGACUUUGGAGGUUUUUCUUGCUGGCCUCUUUAGAAGCCAGCUCCUCCUAAAUGAAUGGGUGGGGUCCGCUUUGCUGAUCCUCGACGUGAUAAGCAUUUCUUCUACGUCUCAGUGUCAGCUCGGAACCCGCUUUCCAACCGUCUUUGGACAAAGACAAUGUUCGAGUUGCGACUCGACCUUACAAACCUUGACCUCAAAUCGGGUGAGACUACCCGCUGAACUUAAGCAUAUCAAUAAGCGGAGGCU
rnacentral:misc_RNA from 1 species